UGGCAAUCGAUUCUUUCAAGGAUCUUGAAGACGCUCCCAACGAUCGGUCGAUCACCAUUCGUCGAUCGUGACACUCACUACUUACUCCAGAUACGAUGGGAUGUCACCGUUGUCUAACCGAACGCACCCCUUCCGAGAACAAUCAAACGGCGCUUACGAUCGCCACCAAAGAUAAAUUAUACCGUAGCCGAGAGUUAUUUGAAUAGAAACUGACCGCGCAUCCCGGGCGAAUCCUCAUAUUUUCUCGCAAUGCCGCCCGUCGGGCUCGGGCUGCUUACUCUUGUUCCCUAAGUGCAGGAAAACGUAAGUUACUUCGCCCAAUCAGCGGAACGCCGUAGUUAUAUAGGCGCGUAUUCCUCCCCCAGUGCUAUCGUCGGAGAUGGUUCGCGAUGUGCUGGGCCAGCUGUUGCGAAGGUGGUGGUAAAGUCGUCCUGGUGGAGGAGGCAUUUCGCGUUGCUGGAGGAAAGGAACUCACGAUGGUGGUGGGUUCCAACGGACACGGGUUACGGAAAGCUCGAAUCUCGUGUAGCGAUGGGCCCGAUCUCCUACUUGUUCAUUCUAUCUGAACUAGAAGUAAUGAUAUCUACAUGGCAGUGAAAUUUUAUGAAGGAUGACCGAAUUAAGAGACUACAUUCAAAACCAUAGUACAUAUUUAACGUGUAUCAUGAAAUCUGAAGAGCAUUUUUAAUUAUAAGGAAUUCUGUAUGUCUUUACAGAAUUGUAAAGGAUUAUAAAAGGAGGAGAAGAGUAUCCGUGGUAUUAAUCUCUACAUCGUAUCAAUAGGAAAUUGAUCCCAUCGCUACGUCCAUUCUCCUUCCUCCUCGCCUUUGUCCACCUCCUACGAACCUGGCGAUCUUACUUCGUGCCACAGUGGGCCCAUCGUUCCGGAGAAAGUGAUCGGGAACACGAUGAUCCGGUCGAGCGAGCCAGGCGGUUUCGUUCCCUUGGUAUUUACGCGCCUGUGUCCGGCAAAAACGAAGUUCAUGGGGAGGCAAGGUUAUGUAGCAAGGUUAUACCCGGUGAUCCAGAUUACCUGCAGACGGGAGAGUGGUGGAACCAGUUGGAGCGCGGCAACUAGCGUUUGACGAAAUUCUUUUUUACCCUUUUUACGGUUCAUUCGAUUUCAGAAUAGCGUCAGGCGAUUUCUCUUCCGGGAAGCCCUCGGGCCUGGGCCAUUGCUUUUCCUUUUGCGGAUUGUUUUCGACGAUGAUUGCCCUCAAGGGGUAAUCGAAACGAUUAAGAAAUGUUAGAGAUCGGCAGGUUGAACAUUUGCGGUGUAUGGAGGAUCCGCUCAGCGAAUUUCACUUUGCUUUCGAAAGAACAAAAGGGAAUACAUCAGGUACAAAACUAUUUGUUUAAAAUAAAUAGUAAAAGCGUGAAAAGCGUCCCCACAAAUUAAAGGAACUAAUUAUCGCUGCUAGGCACAAUCGAUGCUUCCAGGAAUAGUCUCUUCUCCGCGAUGAAUGAUUAUAACCUUCCCCGGUUCGCACGAUUUCUAACGAUUCCUCUUUCAUUAAUUAAACAUGCAAACACAGGCUUCCGACCGUAGACGUCAACGAUACCGUUGGCACAAUUUUAUUGAUCAUUAAGUGAUUCAAUCCCAGCAUGGCAAAGCCACACGCAGCGUUUAUAAUCAGCUUACGCGAAGAGGAAGAGGAUGUUACCGAUAAGCUUUCGCAAGAUUGAAUCUUCGUAAAAGGAACACGACGAUGUAGCGUUUUAUUUGAAAAGCUCAUAAUCACGGAUGCCUGCACGGGUGAAAGUAUAUACAUACCGAAGGAAGAAAAUUUAUAACGUAAAAGCAACAGGCCUGCAGACCGAGGAAUUACGAGGCAAAUUUUACGGAGUCGAGCAAUUACGAGAUACAGGUCAAUUUCACUGGAUCAAUUUUGCAAUUUAACGGAUAGACGUCGAGGGAGACGCUAGAGGAACUUGGACGUCGUUUCAGGAAGUUAUCCACGGUGACGAGUCACUCGACUCGAUCCGCUAACAAGCUGAAAGCGAUAAGUGGUUAAAUUCGCACAAGAUACAUUCGUGUAUUUGUCGGAUGAAAGCGAAUUCUUUGCUUUACUGCGGACAGCUAGGAGUAUAUUACAUGAAAUUGUUAGAAUACGUUCCAGCAAUUCCGAAUUCGUUGCAUCAAUCUUAGAAAAUAAUGUAAAUCUCAUUAUUCUCUAAAUAUAAAAAAGUCCACUAAAAAUAUACAAACUAUAUUAGUCGCACACAAAAAGUAUUAAACACCGAUAACAAAGUCAUUUUAAAUAUUUGUAAUAACAGUCAACACAGUAACGAGUGUAUACUCUGUAGAUGUCAAUAAAUAUUCGGAGAGAUUGUAUCUAAUGUAACGUAUAUUGUUUGCUCAGCGCGUGGGUAGAACUAAAAGAGCGACGUUUGAAACAUUCCAAAGACGAUAGCAAAUAAAAGAGCAUGUGUUUGAGGAAUUUUUAUUUGCACUCUAAGUGUUCGGUUUAUGGACGAGUACCUACGAUUCACUUUCUAAACGUGCCGUCCCUCAAGGUAGUUGAUAUCGCUUUUCGAAAUGUCUAGCUGUUCGAUAUUUGGGUUACGUUCACCUGCUAAGUCUUCAUGGAAAAUAAAUAAUUGCGACAUUUUCUUAGGAAACGUUGGACCCGUUGACUGAUAUAGAGCGAGAGUUUUGUUCCGUUUAUGGUAUCUUUUGUAAGCUUAGAAUAUUUUAAGCUUGUAAGCAGAUAUUUCAUUUGGAAGAGAAUGAAUCAUCGCUCAUGAAGGAAUGUCAUUCUACUUUUGCAUCAAUUCUGAAAUCGUGUUUUUGCGUGUCUCACCAUGGGUAAUCAGUUUAAAUCUUUACACGAAUUUCUCCUUUAGUGAUUUCUUCGCCAUGCCCCUAUCUUGAAGUCGACAAUAAUCCAUCGAGAGACUCGACAUAUAGAAGAAAGUUUUAUCCUUCGUAUUUUCCACUCGAUACAUAUCUUUCGUUUCUUCUUACCUCGUGAUUUUGCUUUCUACCAUAACGUAUAUUACAAAUUGAUGGAAAAAGCUGAAGAAUCAUGGAUUAAACUAUCAUCAGCUGUUUCGUGGGAAGCAUUGGAACGCAUUUACGAUUCAAUUAUAGGAACACUUCGUUCUUCGUGACUCGAGAACACAUUUCAAGAUGUCUUCGGUGUCAGCAUAUGUUGUGGAAUCAGAUACUCUGUUAUUGAGUCUAUUAAUCCGGAGGAUAAAUAACGCAGCACGUCCCGAAGAAGAAACAGCCUUAUUUACUUUCUUCAACUCUUUUUACUUCUUCGAGUAUUGUUUGUACACAAGAGCAGUUUAUAUCUUGUUUAUACACCACGCACAAAGAAUCAGAAAGAUCAGUGAAAACUUGUACUGCUAUCAACUAUUGACGCAUUUAUCAUAAAUCGCCAUUAAUCUUGUGAGCACAAUUAUAUCUUUCUGCGCCAAAAAACCUUCCAUUUGUCUUGGACUUUUGAAGCCUGUAAUUUGGUGCCAGUGAAAGGCGCCGGAGAUGAUUUCAUGCCGGCGGUCGCACACACGCACUGUUCGCAUGACCAUAUAAACAAACGGUUAUCACGUUACCUAAUCGUUACCACUAGCCACCCAUUGUCAAUUAACACGUAGCCCGGACAUUUCGCCAAUUAAAGCGAUCGUGCGAAUCCAUUUCGCUAAAAUGGGAGAAAGAAAGGAUUAUGGAAAUUUUAAAUGCUUGUUUGUCUUAGGUCGAAACUUUCAUUGUUGUCCAAGCUUGAAGUUGCACUCUUUUGAGAGCAAACACGUAACUUGUCUGGUACAAUGAAACUAAAUGUAUACUUUUUAAUUGACUUACUUUAUUAUUAACUUUUCAAGUGUGCGUUUCACGGCCCACAUGAUCGUACAUUAGCAUAUUUCUGUCUAAUCUCGGAAUAUCCGCUUGUUCCGUCGGGUUCAGUGAAAGUAACAAAAGCGAGCGGGCGAUUAAUGUAACAUCCGUGAUUCGGUUAAUCUGAUCAUUACAGUUCCUAAACCCAACUGGGACUGUUUUUAAUUAAUACGUGGACACUCAGGAGAAAGGUAUUUCGUUCCUCGGAGUAUCAUGGUUCAUGAUAUUAAUAGAACAAAAUUACAUUUGCAGGUAGUAGGAUGUUCGCCAGGAAAGUCUCCAAGUAUCAUAAUAGAACCGUUUAGAAAAUACAAAGUCAUGCUUUCUAAUCGCUGCGUUUAAUUAUCAAUCACUAGACCGAUUAACGAUCAUUACAAGGCAAUACAAACUGUACGAUUUUCUUUUUAGGAUACAAAACCGGAUGCUCCGCUCUCACAAAGUUUAGGAAGCCACGGAAUUGCAGGCAUUUUUAUGCUGUCUUGCAUGAGAUUUCAAAACGAGGGUGAACAAAGAAACACGGUACAUACACAAAAUGUAAUUGUCACUGGAGAGUGUCAGAAUGCGCUAAUCGUCUAGCAAGCAGGAUCAACUUUCACAUAUUGUAACAACUUCAUGAACAUCAUGACGGUGAAACUGCGACGAAGAGGAAACGCGUAUCCGCGAGGUCAUCAAGUUCAGACUACCCUUUUCCCAUGUGACUCGGUCUUCUCUUUCCUGGUUGUUGAGACGAUUUCCUCGAUGGGAAAGUCACGGUCAUGUAACGUGGCCAUCCUCCGCCGCAUCUACAGAGAUGCCAUCCGUUUUCGACGUACGACAACGAACGUGCACACGCUUCCGCUGUAACGAACGAGUAGAGAGUAGAGGAAGCAGCGGAGACGAACCUACCAGGUCGAGAGUGAAACUGUUCGAUGCAACGUGAUUGCACCCAAUUAAGAAACUUCUUGAAUCAACAGUUUUCGAACCGGUGUAUCGGGUUUUGCGCGGCGGUCGUGAAAAUAUUCUUUAACUUAAUGGUUCAACUUGUUGGAAAAUCACGCAUGUUCUGACGCUCGCUGUGCACUGGUACCCAAGAUAUACGCUUCUUCCCACCACGUACCAGUU
rnacentral:lncRNA from 1 species